rnacentral:rRNA from 1 species
GAUGAACGCUGGCGGCGUGCCUAAUACAUGCAAGUCGAGCGAACGGACGAGAAGCUUGCUUCUCUGAUGUUAGCGGCGGAAGGGUGAGUAACACGUGGAUAACCUACCUAUAAGACUGGGAUAACUUCGGGAAACCGGAGCUAAUACCGGAUAAUAUUUUGAACCGCAUGGUUCAAAAGUGAAAGACGGUCUUGCUGUCACUUAUAGAUGGAUCCGCGCUGCAUUAGCUAGUUGGUAAGGUAACGGCUUACCAAGGCAACGAUGCAUAGCCGACCUGAGAGAGUGAUCGGCCACACUGGAACUGAGACACGGCCCAAACCCCUACGGGAGGCAGCAGUAGGGAAUCUUCCGCAAUGGGCGAAAGCCUGACGGAGCAACGCCGCGUGAGUGAUGAAGGUCUUCGGAUCGUAAAACUCUGUUAUUAGGGAAGAACAUAUGUGUAAGUAACUGUGCACAUCUUGACGGUACCUUAUCAGAAAGCCACGGCUAACUACGUG